UUUUUUUGUUUUGAUUUUUUUUUUCUGUUGAAAUAAGCCCUUCACUUGAAUCUGUAUUAUUUAUUUUUUAUUUCUGGGUUACAGUAAUUUUUUCCUUUGUUUGGUUAUAGUAUGUGUACGUACGUACUUGUAUAUGUCAUAUAUGCUUGUAAAAUAAACAUGUUUCAUUGCAAUUUGGUUGCUUAAUUUUCUGCACUUGAAUCUGAGCAUGUGGUAGUCAUCAUUUUUUUUGUUCUCUAUGUACAUCAUAUGUUCUUUGCUUCUAAGUUGAAGGGUUGUUUCAUAUUUCACAGCCAGCUACAGAAGUUGUGGUCUAGUAGCACUCAUUUCAGCUUGUCAUAUGUCUAAUAGCUUCGUAUGGACUCAUGAAAAUGAUACAUAUAACAUUCUGAGUUAGUUCAAUAGUCAUCCCAAAAUCCUCCUGAAAAGAUGCAGAUUAUAUUUCAAUAUAGGAGUAUAUAUUAUUAUAUUCUGACCUAAAGGUUAUCAGUUACCAAGUUAUAGCCUUUCAAUAAAAACCCUCCUUCCUGCCUUCUUCUUUGACCUCUUUCUCUCUCUGCCUUUACAUUCAUUUCAUCUUUUCAAUAUACUAUUUCUCGUAUUAAUAUUAUUUCUGCCAGCACUAUAACCAGUCUACAGCCAUUAUUUUCUUUUCCCUUGUAAUGAACUGACAAUAUACUCACAUAUGUUAUUCUGGAUUACUUAAGUUUAUCUUGUUCUUUGCAAUUACAAUUAUAUGUCUUCAGAUCUUACCUUUCAUGAUUAGUACAAAUUUUCACUGCAUGAUUAUAUAUUUCCCCGGUGAAGGCAAUAGAUAAUAUAUAAGAGAUGCUUUCCACAAUUGAACAUUAUAGACUGGAUAAAUAUAUUUAUGUAAUUUUCCACUUCAUAUAGUGAAAUUUCCAACCCUCAUUCAAAAAAAAA
rnacentral:misc_RNA from 1 species